UUGCUCAAAACAAAUGUUUCAUACUAUCCCUGUCUUAACUCAGUCCAUAGUAAGACAGGGACGCUUGGUCUCAAACAU
rnacentral:snoRNA from 1 species